CUAGUUUAACCUUGGCAAACAUGUCCAUACAAGUCCUUCAUACAAGAUUAGCAUAAGCAGACAUGUCAUUGCAAGACCCAGCUAUAAGAUUAGCAUAGGCAAACACCCACCCAAAGUACAAUAGAACCUCCUUUGCAUGUCUGGAGCCUAAGACAAGUCUGGUGAUGAGAUUUGGCUUCGCUUGGAGAACAAUGAGCCCAGCAAUUGUCACCUCUGGGCAUUUCCUGGGGUAGGAGGUGUUUAUACAUGUCUUCAAGCUUGGGGAGGUGGCAGGGGGGAAAGUCCUUUUUCCAAGGGCAAAAUGGUGUUGGAAUGGAGGUGCUGAUUUUAUAUGAUUCAUAAAGCUAGGUAUAUUCCCUGAGCUGUCAAGUUGAAAGGAUGCAUUCAGGCAUAAUAUUUGUAACUGUUAACAACUUUAAAGAUGUGCCCUCCCUUCCAUAAUUUCCGUAACAGUAGUGAGAUGAUUUCUUUGUAAGUCUUUAAACUCAAUUUUUAAAGUUAUUUAGGACCAGUGAUUACUGUCUAAAAACAAUAUUUGGUUUCCAAGAUAAGAGCAUAAUGAGAACCAGCUGGAUCAAGCUAAAAGGCCCAUCUAGUCCUGCCUUCUGCUCUCACAGGGGCUGCCCAGAUGCCUAUGAAAGCAGGGCCUGCGUGCUAAAUCACUCUCCCCACAUACAAUUUCCGGCAACUGUUGUUCAGAUGUAGUAGUAGCAGCAGCAGUGUUAUUUGCAUUUUACCCUACCUUUUCUCCAAAAAGCUCAAUGUAGUCUACGUGGUUCUCUCCCUCCUCAUUUAAUCUCCACAACAACCUUGUGAGGUGGGUUAGGCUGAGAGUGAGAGUGACUGGCCCAAAGUCGCUCAGUGAGCUUUAUGACCAGGUGGGGCUUUGAACUCUAGUCUCCCAGAACCUAGUCCAACACUCUAGCCACUGCACCACACAGCCACCAUGGCUAGCAGCCAUUGAUAGCCUUACAGUGGUGCCUCGCAAGACGAAAUUAAUUCGUUCCGCGAGUUUUGUUGUCUUGCGGUUUUUUUCGUCUUGCGAAGCACGGUGUCGGGAAAGUUUUGGAAAAGCUUCAAAAAUCACCAAAGUCUUUAAAACCUCAAAAAGGCUACCACACCGCGUGCUAUGAGUUGCUCCUCGAAGUCAAGUCGCAACUGUAUUAACGGUGUUAAGAAAAAGGAAACAAACUUGCAAGACGUUUCCGUCUUGUGAAGCAAGCCCAUAGCGAAAAUCGUCUUGCGAAGCAGCUCAAAAAACAAAAAGCCCUUUCGUCUAGCGAGUUUUUUGUCUUGCGAGGCAUUCGUCUUGCGAGGUACCACUGUAUCUUUAUAUAACCUUCUUAUCUAAAGCCAUACAAGCUGAUGGCUAUCACUGGCUCUUGAAGGAAGGAGUUCCACAGUUUAACUAUGGGGUCCCAUAGUUUAACUAAUGUGUUUAUCUGUUCUUAUUUUAUCUGUAAGCUGCCUUGGGUCCCUGUCAGGGGAAAAGGUGCUGCAUGAAUAAAUAUAUUAUAAUAAUAACUGCAGCUGCUGGCGGAGGAAGAGGAGGGCAAGGGGAGCACACUGCCCCCGGAAGCACGAUCCCGGUGGGGUUCCAUCACAGCCGCCCCCCCCGCCCACGCUGGGUGCCACGCCCGCGCAGGCAGCACACCCUGCCCCAAGGACGCACCCCGCCCCGCCUGCUCUCCGUCCCCAGUGCCGGAGCAUGAAGCUCUGCCACUGACAGGUGACUGCAUGAAUAAGUACUGUCUUUUUCUCUCUCCUGAAUCCUCUGACAUUCAGUUUCACCACCUGUCCAUGAGUUCUAUCCAGAAUUAUGAGAGACUGAGCAAAUCUUUUCUCUAUCCAAUUUCUCCAUGCCAUGUGUAAUUUAAUAAACUUCUGUCGUGUCCCCUCUUGCUCAUCUUUUCUCUAAACUGUUGUUGUUUAGUCGUGCCGACUCUUCGUGACCCCAUGGACCAGAGCACGCCAGGCACUCCUGUCUUCCCCUGCCUCCCGCAGUUUGGUCAAAUUCAUGCUGGUAGCUUCGAGAACACUGUCCAACCAUCUCGUCCUCUGUCGUCCCCUUCUCCUUGUGCCCUCCAUCUUUUCUAACAUCAGGGUCUUUUCCAGGGAGUCUUCUUCUCAUGAGGUGGCCAAAGUAUUGGAGCCUCAGUUUCAGGAUCUGUCCUUCCAGUGAGCACUCAGGGCUGAUUUCCUUCAGAAUGGAUAGGUUUGAUCUUCUUGCAGUCCAUGGGACUCUCAAGAGUUUCCUCCAGCACCAUAAUUCAAAAGCAUCAAUUCUUUGGCGAUCAGCCUUUUUUGUGGUCCAGCUCUCACUUCCAUACAUCACUUCUCUAAACUAAGAAGACGCAAAUGCUGCAAAAUAUCAUUAGGUAUAUGACACCCCCCACACACAAUUCCAAGCAGAUAUUCACAGUCAUGAUGGCAUACAAAGCCGCUUCUCAAAAAAAAAAAAAAAAGCUCAAAAACUGAGAUUCUCAGGGAUUGAGAUUAUGUGUGCAAAAUUGCAGUCCUCUCUCAUUUUCUCUUCCUUCUUUCUCUCCCUUUUAUUCACAUUUCCAUAGAAUUACAGCACACACCGGCAUUACAACCAAGAGGAAUUUCUGCCACCCACUGGUGCAAAACCAUGG
rnacentral:lncRNA from 1 species